AGUGAACGCUGGCGGUAGGCCUAACACAUGCAAGUCGAACGGCAGCACAGUAAGAGCUUGCUCUUAUGGGUGGCGAGUGGCGGACGGGUGAGGAAUACAUCGGAAUCUACUUUUUCGUGGGGGAUAACGUAGGAAAACUUACGCUAAUACCGCAUACGACCUACGGGUGAAAGCAGGGGAUCUUCGGACCUUGCGCGAUUGAAUGAGCCGAUGUCGGAUUAGCUAGUUGGCGGGGUAAAGGCCCACCAAGGCGACGAUCCGUAGCUGGUCUGAGAGGAUGAUCAGCCACACUGGAACUGAGACACGGUCCAGACUCCUACGGGAGGCAGCAGUGGGGAAUAUUGGACAAUGGGCGCAAGCCUGAUCCAGCCAUACCGCGUGGGUGAAGAAGGCCUUCGGGUUGUAAAGCCCUUUUGUUGGGAAAGAAAAGCAGCAGGUUAAUACCCCGCUGUUCUGACGGUACCCAAAGAAUAAGCACCGGCUAACUUCGUG
rnacentral:rRNA from 1 species